rnacentral:rRNA from 1 species
UACGUAGGGCGCAAGCGUUAUCCGGAAUUAUUGGGCGUAAAGAGCUCGUAGGCGGUUUGUCGCGUCUGCUGUGAAAGACCGGGGCUCAACUCCGGUUCUGCAGUGGGUACGGGCAGACUAGAGUGAUGUAGGGGAGACUGGAAUUCCUGGUGGAGCGGUGAAAUGCGCAGAGAUCAGGAGGAACACCCGUAGCGAAGGCGGCACUCUGGGCCGAUACUGACACUGAGGAGCGAAAGCGUGGGGAGCGAACAGG